rnacentral:tRNA from 1 species
UGGUGCCCGGGCGGCGAGGGCUGCCCUCGCUCUGCGCGGGGCAGGGAGGCGGUUCGCCCGGCGCGUGGCCGCCUCCCGUGCCGCCAU